rnacentral:rRNA from 1 species
CGCAUCUGUGCAUGCAGCAUAUCAAUAAGCGGAGGAAAAGAAACUAACAAGGAUUCCCUCAGUAACGGCGAGUGAAGCGGGAAGAGCUCAAAUUUGAAAUCUUCAAGGUUUUACCUUGACGAAUUGUAGUUUAAAGAAGUGUUUUCUGCUGAAGUUUUGGUAAAGGUUCUUUGGAAUAGGACAUCACAGAGGGUGAGAAUCCCGUCUAUGAUUGCGAUUUGUAGCUUUGUGAUACACUUUCAAAGAGUCGGGUUGUUUGGGAAUGCAGCCCAAAACGGGAGGUAAAUUUCUUCUAAGGCUAAAUAUUGGCGAGAGACCGAUAGCGAACAAGUACCGUGAGGGAAAGAUGAAAAGAACUUGAAAAGAGAGUUAAAUAGUACGUGAAAUUGUCAAAAGGGAAGCUGUUUAACACCAGUGUUGUUUUCUGAAAAUCAACCUCUGUUAGCUUUAUGCAUGUUUGUUUAGACCUAAUCAGCUAUCUUGCAUGUUCCUAUUGUUUGCAGUGGUGCACUUUUCAGUUUACAGGUCAACAUCAGUUUUUUUUACCGUAAAAAAGUUAAAGAAAGGUAGCUCAUGGCUCCGGUCGUGAGUGUUAUAGUCUUUUUCCUAUGCGGUAGGAGAGACUGAGGUCUGCAGUGUAGGCUAUUUGGCUAGAUACUCAGGUGCUAUGUGAUACCAUUUCAUAAACAACUUGUUGAUUAUGUUUUGUCUAUUGCAUACUCGCUUGUACUAUCAUACCUACGCUUAGGAUGUUGACGAUCAGCUGAGCGCG